rnacentral:rRNA from 1 species
CGCUGCGGCAGGCCUAACACAUGCAAGUCGAGCGGUAGAGAGAAGCUUGCUUCUCUUGAGAGCGGCGGACGGGUGAGUAAUACCUAGGAAUCUGCCUGAUAGUGGGGGAUAACGUUCGGAAACGGACGCUAAUACCGCAUACGUCCUACGGGAGAAAGCAGGGGACCUUCGGGCCUUGCGCUAUCAGAUGAGCCUAGGUCGGAUUAGCUAGUUGGUGAGGUAAUGGCUCACCAAGGCUACGAUCCGUAACUGGUCUGAGAGGAUGAUCAGUCACACUGGAACUGAGACACGGUCCAGACUCCUACGGGAGGCAGCAGUGGGGAAUAUUGGACAAUGGGCGAAAGCCUGAUCCAGCCAUGCCGCGUGUGUGAAGAAGGUCUUCGGAUUGUAAAGCACUUUAAGUUGGGAGGAAGGGCAGUUACCUAAUACGUGACUGUCUUGACGUUACCGACAGAAUAAGCACCGGCUAACUCUGUGCCAGCAGCCGCGGUAAUACAGAGGGUGCAAGCGUUAAUCAGAAUUACUGGGCGUAAAGCGCGCGUAGGUGGUUUGUUAAGUUGAAUGUGAAAUCCCCGGGCUCAACCUGGGAACUGCAUCCAAAACUGGCAAGCUAGAGUAUGGUAGAGGGUAGUGGAAUUUCCUGUGUAGCGGUGAAAUGCGUAGAUAUAGGAAGGAACACCAGUGGCGAAGGCGACUACCUGGACUGAUACUGACACUGAGGUGCGAAAGC